GGACAUAAAGAAUAAAAGCAGAACCCCACUCUAAAGUAAAGGAAAGAUUAGUCUCAUGUUCAGUUUUAUUUGUAAUUACUAGUUAAAAGGUAUUGUUCUUUACACAUGCACAGUUUUGCUGAGUUUUGAUACUGUUUUGUUAGCUGUCUAAAUGUGUCUGUUUAUUACAUUAUAGUGUGUGGACUGUUUAGACAUCAGGUAUCCAAUUAUGUUUUGUUGUAAGAUCACUUUUUUGUGCUCUAUUGAUUUUGCCUCUUCAGAUGACUGCUUCAGCACCUGAACGCAUGUCCUCACAUACAGAGGAGCCUACAAGAAAGAUGCUUGAAAUUGUGAACUCAAGACCUGAACCGAAGGCCUUACAGACGUAAUUGCCAACAAGAAAGAGUCUGAUAGAUGCUGAAAGUGAGCUUUGUGCAGCCUCCGAAAAAGAGAUCUGUGCUCAUUGAGGAAAUGGUGUCAGCACUUAAAGAGUUACUAACUGCCCACUUGUCUGACCCAAUACCAAUGGAUGUUGGACCUUCAGGAUCUCAUGUCCCUUGUCGGCCUGAUGGAAGUUUCUGGAAGUCAGCCUUCCCCAUCACCCACCACAGUUCAGCUGCCCAUCAUGCAGUUCAAUCUCCUGCAUUGGACUAGCGGUUCACUCUCCACUACUGAUUGCAUCGAAGUUUACAUGAACUCUAAAUGCUUUAAUUACUCAAGUUGCUAUACACAUGGAUAUAUUACCUUUGUAAAUAAUAUCGAUUUGAUUUGACUUAAAACAUAUUAUAACUGCGUAAAAUUGACUUUAACAUCAUCAUUAACACAAUCAUUUCUUUUUGGGUUCAUUUGUGUGUUGAAUGUAGAAUGUAAAGUCUGUUUUUGAAGGAUUCAGGGCUGAGAAAAGCGUUUUGCGUAUAGUUUUGAGCUCCUCUCUCACUACUUAGAGCAAUAAACUGCUUCAAGUGUUGCUUUGAACUGAAAAGUUGUCUUUCGCCCAAAAAUGAGUAUUUAACACCUAUUAGCACAUAGGUAUUAGCACAUUAGCACUUCGUAUAUUAAGCAUUUCUUAAUCUAGAUUCAUUUGUGUGUUGAGUGUAGUAAAGCCUGUCCUUGAAGGAUUCAGGGCUGAGAACAGCGUUUUGGACACAGUUUUGAGCUCCUCUCUCGCUCCUUAGAGCAAUGCUUCGAAGGUUGUUUUGAACUGAAACUUCUCUUUCGCUCAAAAAUGAGUUUUUAAGAACGAAAACACAUUAGAACUGUAUAAAAGGUACUAACAUCAUGAAAUAAACAUUUCUUAACUGUUUCUGUUUAUUUGUGUGUUGAAUGUAGUAAAGUCUGCUUUUGAAGGAUUCAGGGCUGAGAAAAGCGUUUUGCGUAUAGUUUUGAGCUCCUCUCUCACUACAUAGAACAAUAAACUGCUUCAAAUGUUGGUUUGGACUGAAACU